GACGUAGGUGGCGAACGUUAUCCGGAAUUAUUGGGCGUAAAGAGCUCGUAGGCGGUCUGUCGCGUCUGCUGUGAAAACCCGAGGCUCAACCUCGGGCCUGCAGUGGGUACGGGCAGACUAGAGUGCGGUAGGGGAGAAUGGAACUCCUGGUGUAGCGGUGGAAUGCGCAGAUAUCAGGAAGAACACCGAUGGCGAAGGCAGUUCUCUGGGCCGUAACUGACGCUGAGGAGCGAAAGCGUGGGGAGCGAACAGG
rnacentral:rRNA from 1 species